UGUAGAGAGAUCUUCCUCGUGGCACUUGCCACUUGUCCAGAAAUAAUAUGUUACGUGUUGGUGGCUCCCGAAAGAUGGCGGCCUUCACCAGUUUCUGGAGUUACAAAUGCACUUCAAUAAUGAUCAAGUCAUGCUGCAACAGGCACAGAGAACAAAGAAACAACUGCAACAAGAAACUGCUGAACUUGGGUCUGAAAUCCCAGCAUUAACAAAAAAGGUCUUGAAGUGUUUUCUAGACCAGCCCAUUCUGCUGUCGACAUCUCUGAUGAAAAGCCCCACUAGAUGUCUUUGCCCAGACUUUUCCUUCUUUUUCACCUCAUCUCAUGCCCUGGAGAGGAGUAGUGCCUAGUGACCAGGAGGAAACCUGCAGGUUAAGAGCUAUGUCCAUUAAAAUCAGCAAAUAUUAAAUAAAAUUAAACACUCUGGUCCUCAGUUGCCAAUAGCCACAUUUCAGAUGCUCACGCUAGUGGCCCCUGUAUUAAGCAAAACAGAUUUGGAAAAUUUUGACCAUCACUCAAAACUUUUUUUGGACAGCACUGUUCUAGAGUCAAAUGGAAUAAGUGAUCACUGUAUUGCCCAGGCUGCAGUGCAGUGGUGCCAUGUCAGCUCACUGCAAUCUCCACCUCCUGAGUUCAAGCAGUUCUCCUGCCUCAGCUUCCUGAGUAGCUGGGAUUACAGGCGCGCGCCACUGUGCCCGGCUAAUUUUUGUAUUUUUAGUAGAUACGGGGUUUUACCAUGUUGGCCAGGCUGGUCUAGAACUCCUGAUCUCAAA
ensembl:lncRNA novel transcript